GGUUAAGUUAGAAAGGGCGCACGGUGGAUGCCUUGACACUAGGAGUCGAUGAAGGACGGGACUAACGCCGAUAUGCUUCGGGGAGCUGUAAGUAAGCUUUGAUCCGAAGAUUUCCGAAUGGGGAAACCCACCAUACGUAAUGGUAUGGUAUCCUUACCUGAAUACAUAGGGUAUGGAAGACAGACCCAGGGAACUGAAACAUCUAAGUACCUGGAGGAAGAGAAAGCAAAUGCGAUUUCCUGAGUAGCGGCGAGCGAAACGGAAUCUAGCCCAAACCAAGAGGCUUGCCUCUUGGGGUUGUAGGACAUUCUAUACGGAGUUACAAAGGAACGAGGUAGACGAAGCGACCUGGAAAGGUCCGUCGUAGAGGGUAACAACCCCGUAGUCGAAACUUCGUUCUCUCUUGAAUGUAUCCUGAGUACGGCGGAACACGUGAAAUUCCGUCGGAAUCUGGGAGGACCAUCUCCCAAGGCUAAAUACUCCCUAGUGAUCGAUAGUGAACCAGUACCGUGAGGGAAAGGUGAAAAGCACCCCGGAAGGGGAGUGAAAGAGAUCCUGAAACCGUGUGCCUACAAAUAGUCAGAGCCCGUUAAUGGGUGAUGGCGUGCCUUUUGUAGAAUGAACCGGCGAGUUACGAUCCCGUGCGAGGUUAAGCUGAAGAGGCGGAGCCGCAGCGAAAGCGAGUCUGAAUAGGGCGUUUAGUACGUGGUCGUAGACCCGAAACCAGGUGAUCUACCCAUGUCCAGGGUGAAGUUCAGGUAACACUGAAUGGAGGCCCGAACCCACGCACGUUGAAAAGUGCGGGGAUGAGGUGUGGGUAGCGGAGAAAUUCCAAUCGAACCUGGAGAUAGCUGGUUCUCCCC
rnacentral:rRNA from 1 species